UACGGAGGGUGCGAGCGUUGUCCGGAAUCACUGGGCGUAAAGGGCGCGUAGGUGGCCUGUGGAAGUCUGCGGUGAAAGCCCGGGGCUCAACCCCGGAAUUGCCUUUGAGACUGCAUCGCUAGAAUUGUGGAGAGGUAAGUGGAAUUCCGAGUGUAGAGGUGAAAUUCGUAGAUAUUCGGAAGAACACCAGUGGCGAAGGCGACUUACUGGACACAUAUUGACGCUGAGGUGCGAAAGCGUGGGGAGCAAACAGG
rnacentral:rRNA from 1 species